rnacentral:rRNA from 1 species
CAAUAGCGUAUAUUAAAGUUGUUGCAGUUAAAAAGCUCGUAGUUGGAGUUCAGAGUGAGCUCAGCUGGUCGGCCUAAUGGGUCAGAACUGGUUGACUCUCUCUUGUUUGUGGGUCUCGCCCGGAGUUAACUCUUCGGAUGUGGAUCCCACAUCGUUUACCUUGAAAAAAUUAGAGUGUUCAAAGCAGGCGUUUGCUUGAAUAUAUUAGCAUGGAAUAAUGGAAUAGGACGCUGGUUCUAUUUUGUUGGUUUUGAGAACCAGAGUAAUGAUUAAUAGGGACAGUUGGGGGCAUUCAUAUUUCAUUGUCAGAGGUGAAAUUCUUGGAUUUAUGAAAGAUGAACUUCUGCGAANGNAUUUGCNAAGGAUGUUUNCAUUA